rnacentral:rRNA from 1 species
AUUGAACGCUGGCGGCAUGCCUUACACAUGCAAGUCGAACGGUAACAGGUCUUCGGAUGCUGACGAGUGGCGAACGGGUGAGUAAUACAUCGGAACGUGCCCGAUCGUGGGGGAUAACGGAGCGAAAGCUUUGCUAAUACCGCAUACGAUCUACGGAUGAAAGCAGGGGACCGCAAGGCCUUGCGCGGACGGAGCGGCCGAUGGCAGAUUAGGUAGUUGGUGGGAUAAAAGCUUACCAAGCCGACGAUCUGUAGCUGGUCUGAGAGGACGACCAGCCACACUGGGACUGAGACACGGCCCAGACUCCUACGGGAGGCAGCAGUGGGGAAUUUUGGACAAUGGGCGCAAGCCUGAUCCAGCCAUGCCGCGUGCAGGAUGAAGGCCUUCGGGUUGUAAACUGCUUUUGUACGGAACGAAACGGCUCUUUCUAAUAAAGAGGGCUAAUGACGGUACCGUAAGAAUAAGCACCG